UGAGUCCAUUCGGCUACUCCUAGAUUAGGCUAUAAAUAUUUGCUCAUUUUUUUUACUUUAGAGGCUAAUGAACAUUUUAUGAAAUUUAUCAACUUUGUGAGUUUGUUUUCAACUUUUCAAUAUUCUCUAAAGACUAGUUUGACUUAUCAAGAAUCCUUGUGGCAUCAUUCUAUCUUUGUUUCCGAACUUAUCACUUGGAUUCCCAAAGUGUAGCGUUCUAAGAUAUGCCGAGGUUUCUAUCAACUUUGAUAGCAGGUCGAGGUCCUAUACCAAUAUUCCACCUUAUUUCUAUACCAUCUUUAAUUGAAUUAAGCUUUCAUCUAAGUAACGGGUUAGCAUACUCCUAUUGUGCUAGUUCUUGCUUGAACCUUGGCUGAAUUUCUAAUUUCCAUUCCUUAAAUCAUUUCCCAGAAUCAUGUUAUCCUAUUUGAGCCCAAGCCUCCUUUCAUUCCAUCAACCUUAUUUGAAACACCCUAACUUACUCGAUUUAUGAUCGGGCAAAUUCUUAAGUCACAAAUCUCAUCUGAGGAGAGUGCGUAUCAGGCAAGAGGCGAAUAAGAGAGAAAAUGAGAGAUUCUUGGAAGAGCUCGAGAAAGUCAUUGAAAAAGCCGAUGAAAAAGAAAAAGAACAAAAAGAGAAUGAAAAUGAGAUUGAAAAAGGAAUUGAAAAAGAGAAUGAAAAAGAGUUUGAGAGAGAAAAAGAAGUUGAACAAGAACAACGAGUGGAAAAAGAGAUUGGGGAAAAAGAAAUGAGAGAUCUCGAGAAAAAAGAAUCAAGUGAAAAAGAAAGGGAGCAAGCAAGGAUUGUUUCCACUAACCCACCUGUUCGAUCUUCUUGUGAUGUAACUUUUCAGGUUCCUAAAGUCUUGUACGACCAAUUCCAGCUUCACUACCUUUCAAACGAGAGAUGUUUUCGGUUAUUCGAGAAAUGUAAGUACGUAAAUGAUGACCACCCACUUGUGAUAAAGGUAAGAAAGGUAAGGAUUCCAUGUUUAUCGAAUCAAGGUCGUCCGAUUUAAAAAUUGCUCAUAAAAAUUUUGAUGGGUCAAUUUCUGACAUGCCUCCAUCAUUUGAUUUGAUUAGUCCUUGUUCAUCUCUUAAUGACCCUACUUCGAAAAGUGCCGUGAAAAUUCUGUCUUGUCACACGUUUGAUCCUUCUAUUGGAUUGGCUCACCCUAAUCGAAUUUUAGAUGUGUUUGAUAAAAGCUUUGCACAUACAAAUUUUGGUUAUAUAAACUCUUUGAACUCAUGUGUUAAAUAUGUCUGUUUAAACAUGCCUGUUCAUUUGGUUUGUGAUAGAUUUGAAUCUUUGAAUAGUUGUAUGUUCACCGUGUCUUUGUUUGACAUACAUGUUAAAAGGCUUUCGCAUGCAAUGUUCAAACCGUUUGAUUUUGGCCUUCAAGAUAAAACUUUGAAUUUUUAUACGAGAUUCCCAUAUCUUGAUCUGCUUGGUUUUGUUAACUUUGCAUGCUUGCUUGAUCGAGUGGAAUUUAAGUCCUGUAGUGAGUUGAUGACAUCAUUUUCUAACAUGUUGUGGAAAUUGGAAAUUAUUCAAAAUAUGUUGCAUGUUGGAAUGAAUGAUCAAGUUCGUGUGUACAAACCUGGUAUUUGUUACUUUGAUUUGUUUUAUAGAAACUUCAAGCAACUUGCUUAUUGUGUAUCCUAUUUAAGUUUGUUUGAGAUUUGUACUUUAAUUAAGGCAAUGAAAUUUAAUGACUUUGGUUUCAAUGUUGUUUUGAACCUUAAUCAUUUUGCUUGGCCACAUUUGAAAUACUUGUUCGAUUUUGAAAAGGUAAGGCCGACAUAUGUAUAUGGACUUGAAUCAAAUUACGAACACGAUUUAAUUUUUUUCUAAGUCCAUCAUUUCUGUUGAUACUAAUCUUUUUUAUUACUGUGAACGACACCCUUUGAGAAGCACGAGCUGCCUUGGAGUUUCAUCACCCAUCCUAGUCGAUCGAGAUAAGAGGUUUGUUUUACAUUACAUUUUCGAGGAGAGAAGAUUUGUUCUGAUUGAAAAAGGUUAAUGUGAUAUCCAUUAUUCCAUUCAACUGAGGAAAGCCGCGCAAGAAGGAACAUUUUCAAAGGGACAAAUGGCUCGACUUGACAACAAGUCAAUACAUUUUCAAAGGGACAAAUGGCUCGACUUGACAACAAGUCAAUUUCAAGAGGGGGUAUGAUGCGAACCCGGUCGCAUCAUGUUUUGAUACACUUUGAUGACAUCAAGAUUGGCCUAAACUCGAGGGGGUCCAAGUGCAAAAUGAGACUUUUAAUUUCAUUUAAGUUGUUGGAAUAAGGACUUGAUUUAUUUUAGUUACUUUGGUCUUUAAUUAUGUCUUGUUUAUUAAAUACAUAUUUUAAUUAUGACAUGCAUUAUGUGUUUUGCAUUUAAUAAAGUCAUGCAUUAUGUAACUCCCAUGUUAGUUUAAGUCAGAUUCAUUAAAUUAAGUCUUGCAUUAAGUAACUCAUUUGUUCAUUUAGUUUGCAUUUUAAACCAUGCAUUUAAGCAUCUUAGUUUAAUAAAUGAGUUGUUGGACGUUAUUCAACUCAUCUUAGUUCUUUUAAUAAGUGUUGCUCUUAAUUAAUCUAGUUCCUAGGAUUAUUUAUUGAUUCAUGAGAUAAGUUUAUUUAAUUUUGCUUCUUUAAUUAAAUUAGUUGCUGCAUUAAUUGAUGACUUUGCUUUUAGUUUAUUUAUUGAAGUCAUGUGUUUAGUGUGUUUAAGUUUAAUAAAUGUUACUUGUGCUUAAUAAACUCAUUUUAAUGUGUUUAUUGCAGGAGUCUUUUCAAGUCAUAACCGUUACAUUACAAGGGCUGUUACACAUUAAAAAAGUGACUUUUUAAGUCAUUUUUGGUUACAAAUGAAGUGGCUAUUAGAAGGGAUGUUUUAUACAUCAAUUAAGGAUUUUUAAGGGGCAUUUUAACUCCUCUUAAAUUUGGCAGCAAUUCCUUUCAUCUACCAGCAGUUUUUGCUCAUUCAAAGAUGAAAACAAGCAUUCAAAACACCAUUUAGUUGCUGGUGUCUUUUCGGCUAGCCAAGGAACAACUCAAGAGACAUUUUUCAAGCAUUCAUGGAUAUUCAUUUAGCUGAAUUUAAAUGAAUUCAAUCAAGGAGUUAUUAGUUACAAGAAUUUCAAAAGUCUUGAGUUUAAUUUUAGAUUUAAUUAGCACAUUAAGUUGUGACUUUUCAGCUAGCUUUUCUAUACCUAUAAAUAAGUGUAACCAUCCAUUUCAAAGAGGAGAAUUUUUUUUGGAUUUUUGACACUUUAAUGAAAAUUUACAUCAUUUUGUGAUAAA